GUGAAAUGGCUCUGCGCCACAUGGAGAAAGAGCAAAAUGUCACUUUCGAGGUUUGUGACAAAAUUUCGUGAUAGAUUCUUCGGGUGGAGUGAGAGGCCUUUCUCACUGCUGUGACACUGCUGCUGAGGUGGAAAAGCUGAAGAACAGAUUAUUCAGUUUCUACACGGAGCCCUGCUCGACAUGAUGCUAAAACAUGGUGUUUUUUGGACCCAGGUUUUCACUGAUAACAAAGAGGAAGGUCAGUAGCAGAUUAAGACCAGGAAGCUGGUUUACAGCCAUCAUAAUCUGCAAAGAGGUCUCUGCCAGGGCAGCAAGCAUCCAUUUCUUUCUUCCAGUACAUCAGACAGUGGGCAGGAAAAGAUGAGCU